AUGUACAUACCUACAACAUAACGUUAAUGCACCAGAUCCCAUUAGAACUCGUCGGUUAAGCGUGCUUGGGAUAGAGUAUUAUUGGGAUGGGUGACCACCUUGGAAUUCCUAGUGUUUUACAUU
rnacentral:rRNA from 1 species